UACAGAGGGGGCAAGCGUUAUUCGGAAUUAUUGGGCGUAAAGGGCGCGUAGGCGGCCUGGCAAGUGGAAGGUGAAAUCCCUCGGCUUAACCGAGGAACUGCCCUCCAAACUGCUUGGCUUGAGUCCGGGAGAGGUGAGUGGAAUUCCCAGUGUAGCGGUGAAAUGCGUAGAUAUCAGGAGGAACACCGAUGGCGAAGGCAGCUCUCUGGCCCGAAACUGACGCUGAGGUGCGAAAGCGUGGGGAGCGAACGGG
rnacentral:rRNA from 1 species